GAUGAACGCUGGCGGCGUGCCUAAUACAUGCAAGUCGAGCGAACGGACGAGAAGCUUGCUUCUCUGAUGUUAGCGGCGGACGGGUGAGUAACACGUGGAUAACCUACCUAUAAGACUGGGAUAACUUCGGGAAACCGUAGCUAAUACCGGAUAAUAUUUUGAACCGCAUGGUUCAAAAGUGAAAGACGGUCUUGCUGUCACUUAUAGAUGGAUCCGCGCUGCAUUAGCUAGUUGGUAAGGUAACGGCUUACCAAGGCAACGAUGCAUAGCCGACCUGAGAGGGUGAUCGGCCACACUGGAACUGAGACACGGUCCAGACGCCUACGGGAGGCAGCAGUAGGGAAUCUUCCGCAAUGGGCGAAAGCCUGACGGAGCAACGCCGCGUGAGUGAUGAAGGUCUUCGGAUCGUAAAACUCUGUUAUUAGGGAAGAACAUAUGUGUAAGUAACUGUGCACAUCUUGACGGUACCUAAGCAGAAAGCCACGGCUAACUACGU
rnacentral:rRNA from 1 species